rnacentral:rRNA from 1 species
UACGAAGGGGGCGAGCGUUGUUCGGAUUUACUGGGCGUAAAGGGCGCGCAGGCGGUCUUGAAAGUCAGGCGUGAAAGCCCCGGGCUUAACCUGGGAAUUGCGCUUGAUACUCUGAGACUGGAGUACGGGAGAGGAGAGUGGAAUUCCCAGUGUAGAGGUGAAAUUCGUAGAUAUUGGGAAGAACACCAGUGGCGAAGGCGGCUCUCUGGACCGUAACUGACGCUGAGGCGCGAAAGCAUGGGGAGCGAACAGG